GAGAAAGAGAGAGAGAGGUUUUGCAGGACUUGUGGACCAAGGUGCAACAGAAGAUUCCAAUGGAAUGUCCCCAGGAGGGACAGUUGGGAGUUUGCUGACCACACUCUGAGAGGAGAAACUUGGCUUGUGGACUUUGUCUCUGACUGAGGGACACACACUCUCUCCCUGGAGGUUUGAAGCUGGAACGUAUAAGCCAAGCCAGGCUGUUUGUACUCCGGGCCAUGUUCAACUAAUCUUUAUGGAAAUAUUCAGAUUGACUAAGUGAACUGGAGGGUUUUCUGUUUGGCAAAAUAAGGCAGAAGUUUUGAAGCCACUUUGAUCAACUGGUUUGCCUCAUUGUAAUAAGGAGUCACUCUUGCUUCCAGCUCUACAUAUGGGGAAACCAAGGAGGAAAUACAAUGUCAACCAAUCACCACGAAUCAGCAAAUACUUACCCAAGACUUCAUAUUAGAUGUUAAAAUGGAUCAGUGCCUUUCAGAGGUAAAGAAGAGAGAAAACUGGAGUGGAAGAGACCUGAGUUUAAAUACAGACUCAGGAACUCCAUAGCAAUACAACCUUAGGCAAAUUACUUAAUCCCUAUUGGACUCAGUUUCCCCAACUGUGAAAUGGGGGUAAAAACAGCACCUACAACUUUCUCAAUUUCUCUUAAUUCAAGUGCAUUCUUUCUGCCUACUAGUUUUUAUUUAUCCUGCAUUUAGCUUAUUUGUACAUUUUUUUUUUACUCAUUAUGAGCACCAAAUGAAAUAUCUGUAAAGGGCUUAGUGCAGCGUCUGGCACAAAUGCUUAUUUCUUUCCUUACUUCCUAAUUCUGCCUUCCUGUAAUUUCUAGUAAUUGUUCCUAGUUUUGUUUUGUGGGAUUGAAGCAGAAGUCUAUUCUGUUAUG
rnacentral:lncRNA from 1 species